rnacentral:rRNA from 1 species
UACAGAGGUCUCAAGCGUUGUUCGGAUUCAUUGGGCGUAAAGGGUGCGUAGGUGGCAUGGUAAGUCGGAUGUGAAAUCUCAGGGCUCAACCCUGAAACUGCAUUCGAUACUGCGUGGCUAGAGUGCUGGAGAGGAGACUGGAAUUUACGGUGUAGCAGUGAAAUGCGUAGAUAUCGUAAGGAAGACCAGUGGCGAAGGCGAGUCUCUGGACAGCAACUGACGCUGAGGCACGAAGGCCAGGGGGAGCAAACGGGG